UGGGGAAUUUUGGACAAUGGGCGAAAGCCUGAUCCAGCAAUGCCGCGUGUGUGAAGAAGGCCUUCGGGUUGUAAAGCACUUUUGUCCGGAAAGAAAUCCUUGGCUCUAAUACAGUCGGGGGAUGACGGUACCGGAAGAAUAAGCACCGGCUAACUACGUGCCAGCAGCCGCGGUAAUACGUAGGGUGCAAGCGUUAAUCGGAAUUACUGGGCGUAAAGCGUGCGCAGGCGGUUUGCUAAGACCGAUGUGAAAUCCCCGGGCUCAACCUGGGAACUGCAUUGGUGACUGGCAGGCUAGAGUAUGGCAGAGGGGGGUAGAAUUCCACGUGUAGCAGUGAAAUGCGUAGAGAUGUGGAGGAAUACCGAUGGCGAAGGCAGCCCCCUGGGCCAAUACUGACGCUCAUGCACGGAAGCGUGGGGAGCAAACAGGAUUAGAUACCCUGGUAGUCCACGCCCUAAACGAUGUCAACUAGUUGUUGGGGAUUCAUUUCCUUAGUAACGUAGCUAACGCGUGAAGUUGACCGCCUGGGGAGUACGGUCGCAAGAUUAAAACUCAAAGGAAUUGAC
rnacentral:rRNA from 1 species